UAAUAGUAUUUUGACAACAGCGGAAGUAACGUGACGCUGGUAACACGUCAUGAGAUUCUCGAAGGAUCUUGACUUUUCGUGGCAAUUCUAGUCUUUUCUAAGCGCCCUCUUUUUUUUAUAUAAGCCCCGCAAAUGAUUGCAGAUGGGGAGAAAUAUGGAGACAGAUAAUUAAGUCAAGCGAGUUAUGGUGACCAAAAACUUUCCUUAAAAGACAUUAUAUACGGUAUAGCCAAUGGAACUGUUUUAUUUAAAUUGAGAUCCUUGGAUAAGUUCUAUCGACGCCGUUAUUAUGUCAAUCUGCAGUCUCAAAGGCUGGAAUACCGAGGUUCCAAUAAAAGCUUUUUUUGUAGAAGGCCUGAAUUCAUUGAUGUACAUGAGAUUGAAGACGUCCGAGAUGGUUGGGCCACAGACCUGUUUAACAUCGUUCAGGCUCGUCAGAGACGACAGUUACAUGUUAACUUCCGUUCCAAACGUGUUCCUGCUUUGAAAGAAGAACUCUGUUUUUCUGUCAUCUAUGGCCCAACUCACGAGGUCCUAGAUCUUGUAGCCUGUGAUGAGGAAACGCGGAAUGCUUGGGUGCGAGCCCUGAAACAUUUGAUGGCUUCCUGCAAAAAUGAUCGGAAGGAAGAAGAGAUUG